rnacentral:rRNA from 1 species
CAAACCCUAGGCAGGGGAUCACUCGGCUCGUGGUAUCACACAACCCGUCAGCUACUAUGCGAUGACACUUAGAGCCGGG